rnacentral:rRNA from 1 species
UACAGAGGUCCCAAGCGUUGUUCGGAUCCACUGGGCGUAAAGGGUGCGUAGGCGGUCGGGUAAGUCUGACGUGAAAUCUUCAAGCUUAACUUGGAAACUGCGUCGGAUACUAUUCGGCUCGAGGAAUGGAGGGGAGACUGGAAUACUUGGUGUAGCAGUGAAAUGCGUAGAUAUCAAGUGGAACACCAGUGGCGAAGGCGAGUCUCUGGACAUUUCCUGACGCUGAGGCACGAAAGCCAGGGGAGCAAACGGG